GAUUAAUAUAGGUAAGGAGUAAUGCUUGCAGACUGCCCAGGGCCCGAGAGAGUACCUGAGAGCAGGCGUUGCUAUGGUCAGCAGGCUUUAGAGCCUGAUGCACAAAUCAAACCCAUCGUAGGAACUGGAUUUGAAGGUUUCUUUGGAAAAGGAAAGGCUAUUUGGGGAGUACUAAAAGUUACAAAACAAACAACCAACAACCCGGGAACUGACUGGGAAACAUUUUGAAGCCAGAACUCUAUAUUUUGUAGUUAAAUAAGGAGUGUAUCUUCUGCCACUGCAUUGUGUGGGUCAGUGUGGCAGUGGUGCAAAAUGUCACAGGGUUGAGUCCCACGUCCCGAAGACUUCUCCUCUCCCUCACAUAGUCCUGUUACUCAAGCCUCCCUCUACCCCUGAAUUAUACUUGUUCUACGUAGGCCUUACACUUACUGUGUUCUCAGCAUUCAUUCAGCCGGGCAGACUUUCUGAGAAUAUGAUAGGUUCUAGAUGCUGCUCCCAGAAGGCAGGAGUGUGAAGGGGAGGGUAUCUUAUUGAUAACCAGGAUCUGUACGAGAUAGAUUAUAUCCAAUUAAUCUUUUGUAAAGCUUGCAUUUCCUCCAAGUUGUAAGAUCUUUCUCGGGUAGAAGAAAAUCACGGCUGCACUCAGGGUGGUGGCUGGACAUCUGGCACUGGGGCUUUAUCCAUUCCAAGUCUUCGGGACAUCUUCACAUUCCCAAUGCUCUCCUUAGGACAAUUGAAAGAACGGAUGCAAAUAAUUGCUGGGUUUUCAGGCCGUGGAGACAGGAGGCCGUCGAAAGUGAAACUGAAUGACAAAUGGCUUCACUCUGAAGCAACUAGGAUCAACAACUCAGAUCUGGAUGGUGACCUGUAGUUUACAAUCCCAUCAGAAGAGUUGAGCUGGUCCUUUAAGGAGGCUGGCCAGAAAAUUGAAAAGAAGUCCAGAUGAUCACAGAAUAAGAAGAAACUGAGUCACAGCUGACGUGCUUCAUUGAUUAGGAUUGGACAUCUAACAAGGCUAUCACUCAGAGCACCGGGAUCCUAGUGUGGGUUUUCACAGUUCAUCUCAGAAUGGAUUUGGGGUAUGAAGAACGUGAUCACAGUUCCUAUUCAAGGUUCUCCUUUAACCUAAAAACCAUCCUAGCUGAAGAUCAAAAGAAAGAUUGGCAUUGAAUGAAGUACUGACUUAUACAGGACACCAAAAACACCAGAUCAGGUAACCAGGAAUGUUUCCUAUCUUGAUUCCCUGUCACAUACCUCACCUUUAAGUUUAAUUAUUAUCCCUCCUGAGAGUCAUCUGAGAGAAAUCUUGUUUGAGGAAUUGACUGGAUUGGAUUGACUUACAGGAAGAUUUAUGGAGAAUUGCCUUGAUUAUUAAUUGAUGUAGGAUGGCCCAGUCUACUGUGGGUGACACUAUCCCUAGGCUCGUAGACCUGGGUUCAAGAAAAAAAGCUAUGUAAGCAUAAGCCUGUAGCAAACCAGAGAGUGAGGCAACCAGGAGUAUUCCUCCAUGGUUCCUGUUUUCUGG
rnacentral:sRNA from 1 species